CGUAGGGUGCGAGCGUUAAUCGGAAUUACUGGGCGUAAAGCGUGCGCAGGCGGUAAUGUAAGACAGAUGUGAAAUCCCCGGGCUCAACCUGGGACCUGCAUUUGUGACUGCAUUGCUGGAGUGCGGCAGAGGGGGAUGGAAUUCCGCGUGUAGCAGUGAAAUGCGUAGAUAUGCGGAGGAACACCGAUGGCGAAGGCAAUCCCCUGGGCCUGCACUGACGCUCAUGCACGAAAGCGUGGGGAGCAAACAGGAUU
rnacentral:rRNA from 1 species